GACGUAGGGCGCGAGCGUUGUCCGGAUUUAUUGGGCGUAAAGAGCUCGUAGGCGGCUUGUCACGUCUGCUGUGAAAUCCCGGGGCUCAACCCCGGGCGUGCAGUGGAUACGGGCUGGCUAGAGGCAGGGCAGGGGAGAACGGAAUUCCCGGUGUAGCGGUGAAAUGCGCAGAUAUCGGGGAGACACCGGUGCGAAGGCGGUUCUCUGGGCCUGUACUGACGCUGAGGAGCGAAAGCGUGGGGAGCGAACAGG
rnacentral:rRNA from 1 species